rnacentral:rRNA from 1 species
ACCCGCUGAACUUAAGCAUAUCAAUAAGCGGAGGAAAAGAAACCAACAGGGAUUGCCUCAGUAACGGCGAGUGAAGCGGCAACAGCUCAAAUUUGAAAUCUGGCUCCUCUGGUGCCCGAGUUGUAAUUUGUAGAGGGUGCUUCGAGUGAAGCCCCGGCCCAAGUCCCUUGGAACAGGACGUCAGAGAGGGUGAGAACCCCGUGUCCGGCCGGCGGCGCUCCUCGCGUGAAGCCCCUUCGACGAGUCGAGUUGUUUGGGAAUGCAGCUCUAAAUUGGUGGUAAAUUCCAUCUAAAGCUAAAUACCGGCCAGAGACCGAUAGCGCACAAGUAGAGUGAUCGAAAGAUGAAAAGCACUUUGAAAAGAGAGUCAAAAAGUACGUGAAAUUGUUGAAAGGGAAGCGCUUGCGGCCAGACUUGCCCGCGGAUGUUCAGCCCGUCUUCUGGCGGGUGCACUCUUCCGCGGUCAGGCCAGCAUCGGUUUUGGCGGCCGGACAAAGGCCUUGGGAACGUGGCCCCCUCCGGGGGGUGUUAUAGCCCUCGGUGCAAUGCGGCCAGCCGGGACCGAGGAUCGCGCUCUGCUAGGAUGCUGGCGUAAUGGCCGUAAGCGGCCCGUCUUGAAACACGG